CGCUGGCGGCGUGCCUAAUACAUGCAAGUCGAACGCAUUGUGGUUGAAAUGAUAUGAAGAACUUGUUCAGAUUUGAUUUUCAACAUUGCAAUGAGUGGCGAACGGGUGAGUAACACGUGGGAAACCUACCUCUUAGCAGGGGAUAACAUUUGGAAACAAAUGCUAAUACCGUAUAAUAAUUAAAACCGCAUGGUUUUAGUUUAAAAGAUGGUCUUGCUAUCACUAAGAGAUGGUCCCGCGGUGUAUUAGUUAGUUGGUGAGGUAAUGGCUCACCAAGACAAUGAUACAUAGCCGAGUUGAGAGACUGACCGGCCACAAUGGGACUGAGACACGGCCCAUACUCCUACGGGAGGCAGCAGUAGGGAAUCUUCCACAAUGGACGAAAGUCUGAUGGAGCAACGCCGCGUGUGUGAUGAAGGGUUUCGGCUCGUAAAACACUGUUGUAAGAGAAGAAUGACAUUGAGAGUAACUGUUCAAUGUGUGACGGUAUCUUACCAGAAAGGAACGGCUAAAUACGUGCCAGCAGCCGCGGUAAUACGUAUGUUCCAAGCGUUAUCCGGAUUUAUUGGGCGUAAAGCGAGCGCAGACGGUUAUUUAAGUCUGAAGUGAAAGCCCUCGGCUCAACCGAGGAAUUGCUUUGGAAACUGGAUAACUUGAGUGCAGUAGAGGAAAGUGGAACUCCAUGUGUAGCGGUGAAAUGCGUAGAUAUAUGGAAGAACACCAGUGGCGAAGGCGGCUUUCUGGACUGUAACUGACGUUGAGGCUCGAAAGUGUGGGUAGCAAACAGGAUUAGAUACCCUGGUAGUCCACACUGUAAACGAUGAGUGCUAGUUGUUCGAGGGUUUCCGCCCUUGAGUGAC
rnacentral:rRNA from 1 species